rnacentral:piRNA from 1 species
UGAGACAAUGAAUAAAACACCUUGACCU